CUUCUCUUCCUGUUAGUCACACUGGGAGGAGGGCUCAGCACAGUGGGCCGGUCAUAAAUUACCAUGUGGGUCAGAGCAGCCCAAGUGCAAUACCAAGGGAAACAUAAAUCUUGGCUCGAGUCCUGUGAACAAUUCGUGAGAAAUCCGAAUGUAUUGAAAAAUCACAUGUUUACAGAGGGAUUGGAGACUAAGCCUAUCUUUAAAUUCAGCAGGCCCAGAAUUAAUCUUGUCUUUUAUCUAAACCAGUGUGAGAACCCCAGAAUUAGAUGACUAGUCUGAAGAAAACUCGACUUUCUGACUAGAAAUUGCCCACAAAUUCAAACACAGUUGUGUGUACGAUUUCUGGAGGUUUGUGGCUACUCUGAGGUUCAUCCACAAUUCUCAGGGCAAGCUUGGCCUUCCACAUCAGUAGGGAUUCUCUGUUCAUUCUUCUUGGAAAAUAUAGCAUUGAGGAUUUAAAUACACAGUCCAUUUUUCCUUAAUGCUUGAGGUGGUUCAUUGCUCAAGUUAAUCUGUACCUGCCUUCGCUGCCAUUUGGAG
rnacentral:lncRNA from 1 species